CAGCCGCCGCGGGAAUACGUAGGUGGCAAGCGUUGUCCGGAAUUAUUGGGCGUAAAGCGUGCGCAGGCGGUUCGUUAAGACAGAUGUGAAAUCCCCGGGCUUAACCUGGGAACUGCAUUUGUGACUGGCGAGCUAGAGUAUGGCAGAGGGGGGUAGAAUUCCACGUGUAGCAGUGAAAUGCGUAGAGAUGUGGAGGAAUACCGAUGGCGAAGGCAGCCCCCUGGGCCAAUACUGACGCUCAUGCACGAAAGCGUGGGGAGCAAACAGGAUUAGAUACCCGUGUAGUCCCUGUCUCUUAUAC
rnacentral:rRNA from 1 species